rnacentral:rRNA from 1 species
ACUCAAAGGAAUUGACGGGGGCCCGCACAAGCGGUGGAGUAUGUGGCUUAAUUCGAUGCAACGCGAAGAACCUUACCUGGCCUUGACAUGCGCCGUUCAGCGGCGGAAACGCCGCGGCCCGCAAGGGCGAGGCGCACAGGUGCUGCAUGGCUGUCGUCAGCUCGUGUCGUGAGAUGUUGGGUUAAGUCCCGCAACGAGCGCAACCCCCGUGUCCUGUUGCCCGGCCGAGGAGGCCGGGGUCUCGGGACAGACUGCCCUGCGACAACGGGGAGGAAGGUGGGGACGACGUCAAGUCCGUAUGGCCCUCACGGCCAGGGCUGCACACGUACUACAAUGCCCGGCACAGGGGGACGCGAGGCCGCGAGGCGGGGCGGAUCCCUCAAAACCGGGCCCAGUUCGGAUCGCGGGCUGCAACUCGCCCGCGUGAAGCCGGAAUCGCUAGUAAUGGCGCAUCAGCCACGGCGCCGUGAAUACGUUCCCGGGCCUUGUACACACCGCCCGU